CCAGAAAGCCCACGGCUAAACUACGGGCCCAGCAGGCCGCGGUAAUAAGGUAGGUGGGCAAGCGUUGUUCCGGAUUUUAUGGGGCGUAAAAGCGAGCGCAGGGCGGUUUCUUAAAGUCUGAUGUGAAAGCCCCCCGGCUCACCCGGGGAGGGGUCAUGGGANACUGGGAGACUUGAGUGCAGAAGAGGAGAGUGGAAUUCCAUGUGUAGCGGUGAAAUGCGUAGAUAUAUGGAGGAACACCAGUGGCGAAGGCGGCUCUCUGGUCUGUAACUGACGCUGAGGCUCGAAAGCGUGGGGAGCGAACAGGAUUAGAUACCCUGGUAGUCCACGCCGUAAACGAUGAGUGCUAAGUGUUGGAGGGUUUCCGCCCUUCAGUGCUGCAGCAAACGCAUUAAGCACUCCGCCUGGGGAGUACGACCGCAAGGUUGAAACUCAAAGGAAUUGACGGGGGCCCGCACAAGCGGUGGAGCAUGUGGUUUAAUUCGAAGCAACGCGAAGAACCUUACCAGGUCUUGACAUCCUUUGACCACUCUAGAGAUAGAGCUUCCCCUUCGGGGGCAAAGUGACAGGUGGUGCAUGGUUGUCGUCAGCUCGUGUCGUGAGAUGUUGGGUUAAGUCCCGCAACGAGCGCAACCCUUAUUGUUAGUUGCCAUCAUUUAGUUGGGCACUCUAGCGAGACUGCCGGUGACAAACCGGAGGAAGGUGGGGAUGACGUCAAAUCAUCAUGCCCCUUAUGACCUGGGCUACACACGUGCUACAAUGGGAAGUACAACGAGUUGCGAAGUCGCGAGGCUAAGCUAAUCUCUUAAAGCUUCUCUCAGUUCGGAUUGUAGGCUGCAACUCGCCUACAUGAAGCCGGAAUCGCUAGUAAUCGCGGAUCAGCACGCCGCGGUGAAUACGUUCCCGGGCCUUGUACACACCGCCCGUCACACCACGAGAGUUUGUAACACCCGAAGUCGGUGAGGUAACCUUUUUGGAGCCAGCCGCCUAAGGUGGGAUAGAUGAUUGG
rnacentral:rRNA from 1 species